GUGAGUGCGUGGUAAUGAUUUGUUGGAAGCUCAAUCAAGCACCUGUUUCACGAUCCGGCUGAAAUCAAUACUGCGUUGCUAUGGCGCGCUACCAACCCUAUUGUUUACGUAGCACACACGCGCUGAAUCCACCAGCCUGACUUACCGUACAACAACACACAGCACAGGCUAAGGAAAAGACACGCACAACAGACAGAAAAACACCGGAAAAUCCUUCGCGAAGUACAUAAAUUGGGGGAGAUAUCUAUUAAUUUCUGAAACUUUAGAACACUAAGUGUAAAUAUGGCCGACCAAGAGCAAGAAGAGCAGGUUAGUCAACAACAAGAAGAAAAAGAAGAACAAAAAGAAGAAGAAAAGAAAGAAGAAAAAGAAGAACAAACAGAAGAAGAAAAGAAAGAAGAAAAGAAAAAAGACAAAAACAAAGAGGGAGGAAGUGAUAAAGGAUUAAGCCCGAGAGAUAAGAGAAACAAAGCUUUCAUUGCCGCUGAGUUCAAUAGGUUGAGAGAGAGUUUGGAUGUAGAGAAGACUAGAAUAACAAAACCAGAAUGCAAAGAAUAUUCCCCUUUUAUCUGGACAAGUUUAGAACCUUACCACAAUACAUACACAGUCAACUAUCUUUUAGAUUAUCCUGAGCAUGUUCAACAUGGGUACAUCACGCGGAAGACAGCCAUUGGCAUCGUCGACCCUGAAGUCUCUCAUAACAUGGAUGUAUCAUUAGAUGAGGUUCCAAAGUCCAGUCCAAGAUCACCAAGGGAAGAGUAUGAUGUACCAAAGAUCCAAAGAGGAGAGAAGGCCAAGGCAGCCAAGGGAAGUACCAGAUUACCCCAGUGGCCGGUCGUCAAGUAUAACAGACCAUCUAUGGCCAACGAGAGGCAACUGAAUUGGGGCGAUGUUCCCAAAUUAAGAGAGGACCUGCACACGAAGUACAGCAGUAACGCCCAGGACAGAAUGAAAUAUGACUCUAAGCGGACCAAGCAUGACUGGUAUCGGAUGGAUUUAGCAGAACUCAAAGACAUCAAUGAAGUCAGCCGUAGCCACAUGAAAAUAACCUGCCACGCCUACCUAGGGACCUCAGCGGGCUCCAAGAAAGCCAUCGCCUCAUUGGCUAAAGUCCUUGAAUGAAACUCUGAUCGGCCAAUCACACGAGCUGUUUUAUAUAUAUAAAGACUCUUUUAAAAUCCUGUAAAUAGCUGGAAUAUUUUAUUAAAGGAUUGUAUUUUGAUGUCUCUUCCAAAUCUUGUUUCUUACCUCAAAGGUGUCUUCAUGUUUCUGGCCGACUGAAACGCAUUAGAGAACACUAGUGGAUCCAGGAUAUGGGGAAUGGGGCAAAUUAGCUGCGAUUCUAAAUUUGAUGAAGCUUUAUGAAACGCAUUCUCAAAGCUCAUCCCUAAUUUACUCUCCUUUCACCAAUAGAUGCCAUUUUCUCUCUUUGCUAUGGGCGUGUCAAUCGGGGGGAAAUUCUUUGACCUGGAUCCACCUCAUGUGAAUCAAAAUUGGGGUAUACAUGAGAUUGAGGCUUCAAUAUAUAGAUAUCAAGGUCAGAAGUGUGGUCUCACAGCAAUUCAAAGAGCCUAUGUGACACUGGUUGUCAGCAGUACAAGUCUUCUGCUCCAACCAACUGAUAAAUGCCUUGCGUGAGGAUCUCUUGUUUGGAACCAUCACGAUACUCCAGUUCAGUACUGUAUAGGAAUCCUGUUUCACCUAUGCAUACCAAAACCUGGCUAGUGCUUGCCAGACAGACAAAAUUUCUAUUUGGUAUACUGUAUUCAUUUAUGUAAGACUAUGCAACUUUUCUACAUGUGUAGAACAAUAAUUGUACGGAUAUUCUGUAUUGUCUUCAAUUCUUAUGAUUUUUGCUUUAAUUUUUUUUUUGGGGGGUGCCUGGAAUUGUUUUAGUGUUGGCAAUCGUGAGUGUGCUGGUAAAACUUGCCCAAAGUGAUGUCGUAAGUGAUUUUUUUUUUCCUUUCAGAGAAGCAAACUACAGUCUCAAUCUCACCGGAGAGCUGCAUGCAAUGUCAAGGAAAUCAUAUCACUUUGAAUGCUACAACCACCUAGUAUGUUGUCAAAAUGGGACUUUGUAAGAAACUCCCAGUUUGUAUUCAAGUGUUUUUGUUCUUUCUUUUUUUCUUCUGGUGGGGGGGGGGGCUCAAAUUGACUCAUAAUGGGUCAUAAAACAGCAGCUGAUCAACAGAAUUCACAGCUUAUUUUAAGGUUGAUAAUAUUAGUGGAUAAAUAAUCUUUUCUUCUGUGGAAAUUUUAGAGAUGUCUUAGAGUAGUUGCAGCCACUUCAGGAUCUUGAUGCAGUGUUGCACAUAUUUCAGAUGACAAUGAAACAUAUAUGCUUCCUUGGCAAGGUAACAUUAAACAUACAAUUGUGUGUAAUCACAAAAAGUCUGUAGCAAACAAGCAUUUACGAUCAAUUAUAAAUGUUAAUUGUAUAUCUUUAUUUUACAGGGUCCAGGGGGCCAAGGAAUUGUCUCAAGUUUUAUUUUCAUUUCAAAUAUGGCGUACGCUGAAAAUUCUGAAAAAUUUGUUUUUUAACACAUUUCAGAAACAUAUUAAUUUUAAACACAUUUGUGUAUCAAACAAUUUAAUUUAAAGGCAUUUUAUAUAUUUCAUGCACCUGAUUUUUGCAAACCCCUCCCCAGUGUGUGAAUCUAUAAAAUUCUCAAGUGUUCUUUUUUAGAGAAUCAUUCACAGCACAUUAAAUUAUGUGUAUGGUGCUUUAUAUGACAUGGGGCUUGUAAUUUGAUUUCUUCCAGUUGAAAAAUAUAUUUGUUUUGGAAUUUUCUUCUCUAAGUUUUCUUCCAUUAUAUUCAUUUUUGUUUAAGUUUGAAUGUCAGUGUUUUUAAGCAAUAUUGAUAAUACACUGGUGUCUUCAAAUUGAAAUCCUGUGUUUUCCUUUUUAUUAUCAUGUAUAAUACUAGAAAGACACAUUCCCAUCCAAACCAUUGUUCUUACUACAUUGUUUUGCUUUUUUUUUUAUUACACUUAUAGCUUUCAUUCCAGAUCUUGUGUAUAAUUAUGUUCCUGUAUUUUUUUUUUACUUCAAUUUUUGUGAUUCUUGAAAAUGUAUCAUCCCAUGUAUGAACUCCGUCCAUUUCAUAUUUGGGUCUUAUGUCACAAUAUUAUCAUGUGGUUAACACCGUCCAUACUGUUUGUACUGGUAUUCAAGAUGUAUAAUGUUUUAGAAAUUGUUUGCUAAAUAUGUAAUGUGAAUCGAUGAAGUAUUGAUGUAGCAUAUUAUAUGAAUCCAUAUUUAAAUAUCAUGUUUGUUGGUAAAUUCAAUUUGAAAAAGAUUUUGAAA